rnacentral:rRNA from 1 species
UACGUAGGGGGCAAGCGUUGUCCGGAAUCAUUGGGCGUAAAGAGCGUGUAGGCGGCCCGAUAAGUCCGCCGUGAAAGUCCAGGGCUCAACCCUGGAAUGCCGGUGGAAACUGUCGGGCUGGAGUCCGGAAGAGGCGAGUGGAAUUCCUGGUGUAGCGGUGAAAUGCGCAGAUAUCAGGAGGAACACCAAUGGCGAAGGCAGCUCGCUGGGGACGGUACUGACGCUGAGACGCGAAAAGCGUGGGGGAGCAAACAGG